AGGCAGUUGAAUUAAUCAGGCACAGUUAAUCAUGGUGUCCAGAAUUGUUAAUGUGGCUAAACUGAGACACAGGUUAUGCUUCCAUCACAGUAAAUUUACUGCACACUGAAAAUGAGAACUGUGACAUUU
ensembl:snoRNA